CGGUAAUUCCAGCUCCAAUAGCGUAUACUAAAGUUGUUGCAGUUAAAAAGCUCGUAGUAGGAUUUCUGCGGGGACGGAGCGGCCGGACGCAACUUGCGUCUCGAGCUAGCGCUUUCCCCGCAUCCUGCCGCGAACCGUGCUACCAUUAGCUUGGUGGCGCUGGGGAUCGGCUCGAUUACUUUGAGAAAAAUAGAGUGUUCAAAGCAGGCCACACGCCUUGAAUAAGUUAGCAUGGAAUAAUGACUAAGGACUUUGGUUCUUUUCGUUGGUGUUCGGGACUGAAGUAAUGAUUGAUAGGGACAGUUGGGGCGGUCUGUAUUCCAAAGCGAGAGGUGAAAUUCUUAGACCUUCGGAAGACAAACAGCUGCGAAAGCGUUCCGCAAGGAUGUUCCCUUUGAUCAAGAACGAAAGUUGGGGGAUCGAAGACGAUCAGAUACCGUCGUAGUCUCAACUAUAAACUAUACCAGCUAGGGAUCGGCCAACGUUUAAUUAUUCGACUUGGUCGGCACCUUAUGAGAAAUCAAAGCAUCUGGGUUCCGGGGGGAGUAUGGUCGCAAGGCUGAAACUUAAAGGAAUUGACGGAAGGGCACCACCAGGCGUGGAGCCUGUGGCUUAAUUUGACUCAACACGGGAAAACUUACCAGGUCCAGACAUAGGAAGGAUUGACAGAUUGAUAGCUCUUUCUUGAUUCUGUGGGUGGUGGUGCAUGGCCGUUUUUAGUCGGUGAAGUGAUUUGUCUGCUUAAUUGCGUUAACGGACGAGACACCAGCCUGCUAAAUAGCGCGGCCGAGCAUUGCUCGGUGCGAGCUUCUUAGAGGGACCAUGAUGCGCGAUAGCACAAGGAAGUUUGGGGCAACAACAGGUCUGUGAUGUCCUUAGAUGUUCUGGGCCGCGCACGGGCUACACUGGCGCCUGCAACGAGCAUAUCAGCUGGCCCGAGAGGGUCUUGGCUAAUCUUUGGAACCGGCGCCGUGCUUGGGAUUGACCAUUGCAAUUGUUGGUCAUGCAACGAGGAAUGCCUUGUAAACGCGAGUCAUCAGCUCGCAUUGAAUACGUCCCUGCCCUUUGUACACACCGCCCGUCGCUCCUACCGAUGAAUGUUCCGAUGAAAUUUUCGGAGAGCACCAGAGAACGGGGCUCCGCCUUGCAGAACUGGAGGCUCAAAGUCACUUAAAUCUGAACAUUUCGAGGAAGGAGAAGUCGUAACAAGGUAACC
rnacentral:rRNA from 1 species